ensembl:lncRNA
UCGGGAUGUCAGGGACAGAAGCCCUGCAGAAGGACGGCAAGAGAAGAGCUGGGAAGAGGGAGGAGACUUCAAGAGCUGUUUAAAAGGAAAACCAGGCUUGGCAACAGCUUGCAUUUUAUCCUGUCUGCUGUCUCUCACUCAUCACUUCCCUGAGGAAAGUUCAAAUUCAAAACAAAACAGCCGUUUUUGCAAAGCCAGCCGUUUUGCUCCACGGACCUGGGAAAGAUUUGAUGUAAAACCAGUUCUCAGGAAGCUGCACAUGAUUCACAGAUCUUAAUGCUGCCGGAGGCACAGAGUGCAAAGGAGAGAGCGGGGAAGAGAGGAAUGUAGCUGUCUCACCUUGGAAAGGGGGUAAACUGAGGCAAGGCUCAGCCGGAAAGUGAGUGAUAGGAAUCAACAGGAGGCACCACCGCUGCCAUUUCAUCUGGUUCAGUGUUCAUCCAGUGACUCUCCUCUCCGAGCCUUCUGCAGACACAGACAGGCAUUCAGAAACCAGCCUGCUGGAGACAUUACAGACUCGGGCAGCAGAGUGGGGUGAUGGGACACAGGAAGGUCGACAUUCAGAGAUGGG